rnacentral:rRNA from 1 species
AUGAACGCUAGCGGCAGGCCUAACACAUGCAAGUCGAGGGAGAAGCCCUUUCGGGGGCAGAAACCGGCGCACGGGUGCGUAACGCGUAUGCAACCUACCUUUCACAGGGGGAUAGCCCGAAGAAAUUUGGAUUAAUACCCCAUAAUAUUGUUGGAUGGCAUCAUCUAGCAAUUAAAGCUACGACGGUGGAAGAUGGGCAUGCGUCCUAUUAGCUAGUUGGAGUGGUAACGGCACCCCAAGGCUACGAUAGGUAGGGGUCCUGAGAGGGAGAUCCCCCACACUGGUACUGAGACAGGGACCAGACUCCUACGGGAGGCAGCAGUGAGGAAUAUUGGUCAAUGGUCGGAAGACUGAACCAGCCAUGCCGCGUGCAGGAAGAAUGCCUUAUGGGUUGUAAACUGCUUUUAUAUGGGAAGAAUAAGGCGUACGUGUACGUUGA